GUGCCUAUAGUUUAACGGAUAAAACGAUGGCCUCCUAAGCCAUUGCUCUGGGUUCGAUUCCCGGUAGGCACGCCA
rnacentral:tRNA from 1 species